ensembl:lncRNA
GCUUCUCACUCAUUGCAUGAGGUUCCGUUGUUUUGUGCAUUGCAGCUAUGGUAUACUCCCAGUUGUGUUGUCUACUGGGAGAGCUCAGCCCAUCGACUCGUUCGAAUGCCUCACAGAGGCCAUUAGGCUGCACCUUGAAUGAGCCAAUACAAUCAGGUCACCUGCCGCUUAUCACACCGACUGACUACAAAAGUUCCCUCCUUUCGAGAAAACGACGUCUUCAAAAACGAGUAUAAUUCGCUCCUCCGAUCCCUAACGUGCUGCCCUGUCCAGUUGAGUGACAGGUCAAAAGGACCAGGAUAUCUGCUGACGUACUGAGUCACUAAGCUCCUCCCAUGUGACCUACGACCCCGCCCCCCAUCCCCCCCCC